GCUGUCGCGACCUCAAAUCAAAUAGUUCUAACAAAUGGUAAUAAAAAUGAAUUUACAAAAAUUGAAGGAAAAAUUGAACCAAAACAAUUUCGUUGGAAAAAUAAGAAAAAAGUAUGCAAGCUGAAAAUGAGGAUGGCGACUUUUCGUGCCUCCCUUUGUUGUGUAUGAAGAUGAACGUAAUAACUGUAAAACUCUUUGACAAGUGAGUGCGCGGUCUAACUAACCUUCUGCACGUGAUAUUAGCACUCGAUAAGGAUGUAUAAAUUAAGAUUUUUAAAUAAAAAAUUUUUAGUAAUAAUACGAAAACAACAAGGUAUAAUUAAAAUUUUUAUGAAAUACGCAUGCACUCGUAGACUUAAUUCAUGUGGCUUCUUAAAACCCAUUCGUUUAAUAUAUGGUACUACUGCUGCAAUUGAUUGUUUUUGAAACGUUGCCACGUUAAGUUGUAACUUUCGAGAGUUAAAUGAAAAUGCAAUUACUAUUAAUUAAAUGCACUAAAAAUUUGGCAACUCUAUGCAAGCCGAUCGGCCGUUGCAGACAAUAGUUCUAAAAGAGAACGAGAGGGCUGUGGCUUUCGAUAGAAUUUGUUUUGUAAAUUUUUCUUAAAUGGAAAUUUCAACAAAUGAUAAUAAAAGUGAAUUUAUAAAAAUUGAAGGAAAAAUAAAUCGAACACAAUAUUGUUGGAAAAGUAAAAAAAUGUGUAAACUAAAAAUACAGACGCUGUUUCGAUGCCUUUGAAAUUGGAGAAUAAUAGAAAGGUUUGAAUCCAACAGGAGCUAGAAGGAGAUUGUGAAGAAGCAAGUGUAGUGCUCACCUGAAUGCAGAAUGAAGAAUACCUGAAAAAGCUUUACAGUGACAACAUUCUGCUUAUGUUAAAGAACGUCUUCAAUUAUAAUGCAACAUCUGCUCUCCCCAUCUAUAAGAAUAAUUUUAAUAAAGCACGCCGCCUGGAUGUAUAAUGCGUUCAAUGAGAUUGUCGUUCCGCAAAGUUGAAGUCCGAUUGUAACCUGAAAACUACUCGAUAAAGUCAUAAGGAUUCUUGCAAGUUGAACAAAUUGUGCUGUGUAACUCGCGAUUAAUAUAAAAACAAUAUGGUUUCUAAAAACUCACAGUGUUUGGAUUUCCAAAGGUGAUUCAUGCUUGAUCGAGAAGCACACACUUAGAGAUUCUGCCCAGGCAUCACUGCCCGGUGGCGCCUGCUAUAUAGAGACGUGCUUCAAGCAACGUAAAAUUAUCGUAAAUCAACAUUUGGAGUGGGUAUAAACUUAGUAAUGCAAAGCCCAAAAACAAGACCUCUUGAAGAUUAAGACCAAAUGAGUAUAAAAGGAGAAUGAAUAAAUAAAUUAAUAGGAAAGAAAUUGAAGAUGAUUAUACAAAGCAAUUUCGGUCACAAACUACGUCUUGAGAACAUAAGGAUUCUAAUCGUACAGUGUAACAAGUGAUUAAUGAAAACAUAAGAUAGCGGACGGUUUCUAAUUACAGUGUUUGGAUUUCUUAAGGCGCUGUUACAACCACCACCACGCCCUCUCUAUCGCACUUCAUCUUCCGGGAACACACACUGCAACGAAAACUAUCGUUACCUCAUAAAAACGACAAUCCUGAAGAUCGUAUUCAAACAGCGUUCACGAUCAUUAACGGACGUCAAUUUAAUCGAGAAGCUAGUUGCUCCAUUUGUUAAUGUAGGAAUCGGAAAAAGAUUUUAUAUUUAUCAAGAGCUGCAAUUCCUUGGAAAGCUCCAAGAAUUGCGCCGUGGACGCAAGCCGACAAAAGAACGUGGCCGAGUAAGGAUCAAAGUAAAAGUAAAGUAAAAUGUAUUUCGUCGAACUAAAGUCACAGAAGGUGAAAAAUUAUUGUUGUGCGAUCUACAAUGUAGCGGUGAGUGCAAUAGAUAAAUACAAGUUAAUUGAUCACCAUUAUAGAAAAAUAAUAUUAGAAUUAAAGAAUCGAAAUUAUUAAAGCGAAAUAGCGUAUAAUAGUUUUAAGAAAUUUUGGCUACAUUUAAAGGCGGAAACACGUCACUUAUUAUUUAAAUCUUUAAAAAUAGUUUUCACAUAUUAACCAUAAAGCGAUGUAGCAUAAAAGGUCGUCAUAAGUCAGUGUAGAAAUUUCCUGCUUGCUAAGUUAUGAUUAAAGUUAAUAUCUUUCCUUUUAGUGGCUAGAGAGAAGAGAAAGUCUCGAUAGAAACGAGGGACACUGACAGAUGUUUCAAACUUUAGAAUCAUCAUAGCUUUGCGCAACUCAACGGAGAUCGAAGCAAGUAAUAGUUAUAAAUAAAUGUAAACAUUUUCAAAUUUAUUUUGUACAUAAUCGAUAUGGAAAACAUAUUCGACAAAAUGCACAGGCUGCGAAUUGCUUUGCAGUUUCCAACAAUUGGAUUAUAUUCUUGAGAAUUAUUUUAAUUAUCAACUCCUCACCAUCAUUUAAUGGUUGUUAUGAACGGUGUGUGUUUAUUUAUUUUUUUUACAACAGCAAGUUUGUGUUUAUGCGCUGUGUUCGCAAACUAUUUGCCUUCAGAUAUGAUAUAACUUAUAGUUGCAACUUUUUGGAAUGCAUUCUUACAUCUGUCGUCUCACAUCGUGGGUCGAACAUUAAUUAUUGCUUUAGGAUAAUUUCUGGUGCGUAUUAGUUAAGCUUUUGUAACAAUCAUAAAAAUCUUUUUCCCGGCAAGAAACUAAUACUUAUUCUUUUACAUAGUUUUGAUUGACAUGUAUAAUGACUGUAGUCGGAAAAUCCUUAUUUGUCAAUCUAACAACACCUUUGCCUUUCAUGGCCUCAUUUUUUGCGUCACUUUUAUGAUGUACUGUACUGUAACUUCCUGAGAUCCGUCCAACUAUCGAACUACGGACCUAAUUAUU